GUCCACGCCGUAAACGAUGGGUGCUAGGUGUCGCGGGCAUUGACCCCUGCGGUGCCGAAGCCAACGCAUUAAGCACCCCGCCUGGGGAGUACGGCCGCAAGGCUAAAACUCAAAAGGAAUUGACGGGGCCCGCACAAGCGGUGGAGCAUGUGGUUUAAUUCGACGCAACGCGCAGAACCUUACCCGGGCUAGAAAAUGCAGGAACCUGGUCGAAAGAUCGGAGUGCUCUUCGGAGAACCUGUAGUUAGGUGCUGCAUGGCUGUCGU
rnacentral:rRNA from 1 species